UGGCUGUAGCUAAAUAAAUGUCGAGAAGUUAACUAGCCGAUUGUCGAGAGAUCUUGCGAUCUCCGUCGGCGAAUCUGCCUCCCGAGCUUUUCACACUU